rnacentral:rRNA from 1 species
UUCGCCCUUAGAGUUUGAUCUGGCUCAGGACGAACGCUGGCGGCGCGCCUAACACAUGCAAGUCGAACGGAGCUUAGAGAGCUUGCUUUUUAAGCUUAGUGGCGAACGGGUGAGUAACGCGUGAGUAACCUGCCCUAGAGUGGGGGACAACAGUUGGAAACGACUGCUAAUACCGCAUAAGCCCACGGUACCGCAUGGUACUGAGGGAAAAGGAUUUAUUCGCUUUAGGAUGGACUCGCGUCCAAUUAGCUAGUUGGUGAGGUAACGGCCCACCAAGGCGACGAUUGGUAGCCGGACUGAGAGGUUGAACGGCCACAUUGGGACUGAGACACGGCCCAGACUCCUACGGGAGGCAGCAGUGGGGGAUACUGCACAAUGGGGGAAACCCUGAUGCAGCGACGCCGCGUGGAGGAAGAAGGUUUUCGGAUUGUAAACUCCUGUCGUUAGGGACGAUGAUGACGGUACCUAACAAGAAAGCACCGGCUAACUACGUGCCAGCAGCCGCGGUAAAACGUAGGGUGCAAGCGUUGUCCGGAAUUACUGGGUGUAAAGGGAGCGCAGGCGGGAAGACAAGUUGGAAGUGAAAACCAUGGGCUCAACCCAUGAAUUGCUUUCAAAACUGUUUUUCUUGAGUAGUGCAGAGGUAGAUGGAAUUCCCGGUGUAGCGGUGGAAUGCGUAGAUAUCGGGAGGAACACCAGUGGCGAAGGCGGUCUACUGGGCACCAACUGACGCUGAGGCUCGAAAGCAUGGGUAGCAAGAAUAGAUUAGAUUCUUGUGUAGUGCAUGCCGUAAUGGAUGAUUAGUAGGUGUUGGGGGAUUGACCCCGUCAGUCCCGCAGUUCACACAAUAAGUAAUCCGCGUGGGGAGUCCGCCCGCUAGGUUGAAACUCAAAGGAAUUGACGGGGGGCCCGCACAAGCAGUGGAGUAUGUGGUUUAAUUGGAAGCAACGGGNACAGAACCUUGGUAGGUACUUGACAUCGCGAUGCAUAACACAGAUGAUGAUGUGAAAUCGGUUACGGGACAUAGAGACGAGGUGAUGCAUGUGUGUGUAGUCAGCUCCGUGUCGUGUGAUGUUGGGUUAAGUCCCGCAGCGAGCGCAACCCUUAUUGCCAGUUCAUAUGUUAAGAGGAAUUUGGCGAGGCUGCCGUUGACAAAACGGAGGAAGGUGGGGAAGAAGUUAAAUUAUCAUGCCCCUUAUGAUCUGGGGUUCCCACGUAGUUCCAUGGGGUGGAACAAAGAGAAGCAAGCCCGCGAGGUGGAGCAAAUCUCAAAAACAUCGUUUCAGUUCGGAUGGCAGGCUGCAACUCGCUUCCAGGAAGUGGGAAUUGUUAGUAUUCGCGGAUCAGCAUGCCGCGGUGAAUACGUUCCCGGGCCUUGCACACACCGCCCGUCA